AAAAUAGCUGAAUUGUAUUUUGUGAGAGAAAAUAAGCCGCGAGUGAGUAGUGAGUAGUCAGAUUUGAUUCUCCAACAUGACGGCAAGGGCUUUAUAAAACCCUUCGUCUCCUUCGUCUACUUCGUCUUCGCCUCUGUGAAACCGCCAAUUGAAAUUCUUACUACCACCGCGGAAAUCCGCAACAGCGAAGAAGAUGAGUAUGUUCAAGCUGAAUUCCCUCAAUUCGCUGCGAGCUCUGAGGCGCCUCCACGCCUCCCAAUCCGCCGGCGUCAGAGCGCUCACCAACUGUUCGUCAUUAAUCCUCAAACAGUCGACCCCACUUCUCUCUCCCUCUCCGUCUCCGUCUGCGUUCGCACCGUCGCACAAUCUGCUUGCCGUUCGAAACUACCGGAGCAGCCGCGAUCUCAGAAGCUAUGGGAUUACGCCUCCCAGGAAUUGGGGCAUUCGGAUUGUGCCUGAGAAGAAGGCCUUUGUGAUUGAGCGGUUCGGAAAGUACAUCAGGACUCUGCCGUCUGGAAUCCAUUUCUUGAUUCCGUUUGUGGAUAGAAUCGCUUAUGUGCAUUCCUUGAAAGAAGAGGUCAUCAAUGUUCUUGACCAGUCCGCCAUUACCAAAGACAAUGUCGCCCUUAUGAUUGAUGGUGUGCUUUAUGUUAGGAUUGUGGAUCCUAUGCUGGCCUCCUAUGGUGUUGACAAUCCUAUUAAUGCAGCUAUUCAGCUUGCACAGACUACCAUGCGUAUUGCGAUCGGGAAAAUCACUCUUGACAAGACGUUUGAGGAAAGAGAAUCCCUCAAUGAUGAGAUAGUGACAAUUCUCAACAAGGCUGCAUCAGCAUGGGGGUUGGAGUGCCUCCGCUAUGAAAUAAAGGACAUAACUCCUCCUCGUGCGGUGAGGGAAGCUAUGGAGAUGCAAGCAGAAGCAGAACGAAAAAAGAGAGCUCAAAUUCUUGAGUCUGAGGGAGAAAGGCAGGCCAACAUAAACAUCGCAGAUGGAAAGAAGAGUGCUAUAAUUUUAGCGGCAGAAGGAGAAGCGCAAUCCAUUCUUGCUAAAGCAAAUGCAACAUCUCGAGGAAUUUCCCUUGUGUCAAAGUCUCUCAAUGAAAGUGGGGGUGCAGAGGCAGCUGCUUUGAAAAUUGCUGAGCAGUACGUUGGUGCCUUUGGUAAUAUCGCUAAACAGGGCACAACAGUGUUGCUUCCUAGUGCUUCAAAUAAUCCUGCUGGCAUGAUCUCUCAAGCCUUAAGUAUCUACAAAAGCUUGGUUAACAAUCCUUCCACCCUUGGAUCAACUGGAGGCACGCACAGUGAUGAUGCUUCCUCUGAAGGAUCUGAUGAUCAUGGUGUUCGAAUGAUCGAGGAAACAACUAAUCAAGAUAAUGCAAAGGAAUCAGGAUUUUCGCUUCAGAACCGCAAGAAAGGAGCAUAGAGUUUGACUUCUCUCAAUUGUUCGCCAAUUCAACCAGUUACUGGGCUGUUCCACACCAGACAUUUUUCACCGUAGGAUGCUUUCGUCGUUGUUUUAGCCGAAAGUUCAAAGGUGGAUGUUCAAGGUGGAUCAGGUUUUCCUUUGGGCCGUUGUGUUUCGGAGGCCCCCCUACUUGUCAGUGUGUUUUUGCUGGUAGAUGAUUGGGUUGUGCUGUCUAAAUCCUACUUUGUGUUUUUAGGAACCUUUUUUUUUUCUUUUUUUUUUUUUUUUUUUUUUGGAACAAACAAUAGUAUAUAUACAAAGGAAGUGGGGCGAGUGGGUUAAGUCUUACAAUGAGUUUGCUAAUAAUGUGGUUCAACUUUGACAUUGACGAGAAUUGAAUCUAAGACUUUUCACUUACAAAUGAAGAGAAAUACUACUGAACCGUAGUACUAAGUGGUUUUAAGACAUGUUAAAAGACUUUUAAAGAGUAGCCACUCGAGCAACGCAUGAGCAGUUCUUGAGAGGCCUCAGUGGAGGUUUGAGUGUCGCUCCAGGGGCCUCGAAAGGGCUUGAGCAUUGCUCUCGGAUCAUCUUAUUAGGUUUUCGUUAUAUUAUACUA